UAGGCAAAACUGUUGAAAGACAGUGACGCAAAGCUAUAGGGCCUGUAAAAUGGCAGCCAGUUGC
rnacentral:ncRNA from 1 species